rnacentral:rRNA from 1 species
AGGCAGCAGUGAGGAAUUUUCCGCAAUGGGCGAAAGCCUGACGGAGCGACGUCGUGUGUGGGAUGAAGUCUUUCGGGAUGUAAACCACUGUCAGAGGGGAAGAUAUUGACGGUACCCUCAGAGGAAGCCCCGGCUAACUACGUGCCAGCAGCCGCGGUAAUACGUAGGGGGCGAGCGUUGUCCGGAAUCAUUGGGCGUAAAGGGCGCGUAGGCAGUCUUGCAAGUCGGAUGUUAAAUUUAUAGGCUCAACCGAUAACCGCAUUCGAAACUGCUUGACUAGAGAAUGGUAGAGGUAAACGGAAUUUCAGGUGUAGCGGUGAAAUGCGUAGAUAUCUGAAAGAACACCAGUGGCGAAGGAGGUUUACUGGGCCAUUUCUGACGCUGGGGCGCGAAAGCUAGGGGAUCAAACGGGAUUAGAUACCCCGGUAGUCCUAGCCCUAAACGAUGUUCAUUAGGUGUUAAAGGUGUCGACCCCUUUAGUGCCGUAGCUAACGCGUUAAAUGAACCGCCUGGGAAUUACGAUCGCAAGAUUAAAACUCAAAUGAAUUGACGG